rnacentral:rRNA from 1 species
AUUGGCGAAAGCCAGAACCAGUCAUGCCGCGUGCAGGAUGAAGGCCCUACGGGUCGUAAACUGCUUUUAUUCGGGAAGAAAAAGUCUGUUUCCACAGACCUUGACGGUACCGAUUGAAUAAGGACCGGCCAACUCCGUGCCAGCAGCCGCGGUAAUACGGAGGGUCCAAGCGUUAUCCGGAUUCACUGGGUUUAAAGGGUGCGCAGGCGGCUAAGUAAGUCAGUGGUGAAAGCCUUCGGCUCAACCGGAGAAUUGCCAUUGAAACUACUUAGCUUGAGUGCAGUAGAGGUAGGCGGAAUGUAGCAUGUAGCGGUGAAAUGCAUAGAUAUGCUACAGAACACCGAUAGCGAAAGCAGCUUACCACACUGUAACUGACGCUGAGGCACAAAAGC